rfam:Ricinus communis cultivar Hale ctg_1100012355979, whole genome shotgun sequence.
AAUCCGUGAUGCAGGCAACAUUGAAGCAAAUCCUUGUACCUGUCCUAGGCAUCAUACAUACUCUCGUCAUCGAAUUGCACAAAAAAAGAGAAGUCAUUUCGUAAUU